rnacentral:lncRNA from 1 species
GCCAAGCCUUGUGGUGGGUGCCUGAGCAGGGAGGCCCACACCCAGGUACAUGUCUUCAGGCAAGAGCUUUUCCAAGAAGCCAAGGAAUUCCUCUACAGAUUCUUGCCACAGAAAAUCAUAUACCCACAUAGGCCUUGCAAAAGGAUUCCCUCAUUGUAGCUGCCUGACCUCCCUCCGGGCCCCACUGGACAUCCCCAUCCCAGAACCCCCACCCAAGGAUGAGGUAGAAACAGAGAGGCAAGAGAAGAAAGAAGUCCUUGAGUGUGGAUUUCUCCCUGGGAAUGAGAAGGUCCUGUCGCUGCUUGCCAUGGUUAAGCCAGAAGUCUGGAUUCUCAAAGAGAAAUGCAUUCUGGUGAUCACAUGGAUCCAGCACCUGAUCCCCAAGACUGAGGAUGCAAAUGAUUUGGGGUAGCAAUCCAGGAGAAGGUGCUGGAGAGGGUGAAUGCAGUUAAGACCAAAGUGCAAGCCGUCCAGACAACCAUUUCCAAAUACUUCUCAGAACACGGGGAUGCUGUGGCCAAGGCCUCCAAGGAGACCCAUGUAAUGGAUUACCAGGCGUUGGUGCAAAAGUGAGAUAAGACAGCCUAUGGGGAGGUCAAGGCCAGGGUACUGGACCUGAAGGCCUUCUGUGCUGAGCUUUAUCAUAUCAUCAGCACCAACCUGGAGAAAACCGCAACCCAAAAGGUGAAGAGAAACCAUCUGUGUACUGA